GACGAACGCUGGCGGCGUGCUUUACACAUGCAAGUCGAACGGUGAAGGUGGAGCUUGCUCCGCCGGAUCAGUGGCGAACGGGUGAGUAACACGAGGGCAACAUCCCCCUAACUUUGGGAUAACUACUCGAAAGAGUAGCUAAUACCGGAUACGAAGUCUGUAUGCAUCUACGGAUUUGGAAAGCUCUUCGGUUAAGGAUGUGCCCGCGGCCUAUCAGCUUGGUUGUGAGGUAGUGGCACACCAAGGCGACGUAGGGUAGCCGGCCUGAGCGGGGUUCCGGGCACGCUUGGACUGAAAUACGGCCCCGACUCCUACCGGAUGCAGCUGUGGGGAAUAUUGCGCAAUAGUCGAAGGCCCGACGCAGCAGCGCGGCGUGCGGGAUUUAGUCAUUCGGGUUGUGCACCGUUAUCAGCAGGGAAGAUGCGAAAGUGACGGUACCUGCAGAAGAAGCACCGGCUAACUACGUGCCAGCCGCCGCCGUAA
rnacentral:rRNA from 1 species